CAGCAGCCACGGUAAUACGUAGGUGGCGAGCGUUGUCCGGAAUUAUUGGGCGUAAAGGGAGCGCAGGCGGACAUAUAAGUCCAUCUUAAAAGUGCGGGGCUCAACCCCGUGAGGGGAUGGAAACUGUAUGCCUUGAGUGCAGGAGAGGAAAGCGGAAUUCCCAGUGUAGCGGUGAAAUGCGUAGAUAUUGGGAGGAACACCAGUGACGAAGGCGGCUUUCUGGACUGUAACUGACGCUGAGGCUCGAAAGCCAGGGGAGCGAACGGGAUUAGAUACCCCAGUAGUCCCUGUCUCUUAUACA
rnacentral:rRNA from 1 species